rnacentral:rRNA from 1 species
CGCCCCAGUGCUGGAAGGUCAAGGAAGUUGUUGACCUGAUGACAGGGGAGCUGACGAUCGAAGCCCCAAUGAACCGCGACCGUAAUUAUAACAGUCCUAAGGUAACGAAUUCUUUGUCGGGUAAGUUCCAACCCGCACGAAAGGUG